CGAUUUCAUCAGCCCUGUUCUGGUGCGGAACCUCAGCCUCAAGGUUUCCUUCGGCAAUCUUGUCGGCAGUGUUGCUCAGCUCGAUUAUGGGUCUCGUAAUGGUCGAGGUUGUGAACACCGCCAGAACG
rnacentral:sRNA from 1 species